rnacentral:rRNA from 1 species
GGAUGCGGAAACGGAGCAAUCCGGUCCGGCGCGAAUCGAUUCGGGGCGUGGACGGACGCGGAUUAAGGUGGUGACCUAAGCCCGGGCUUUUUGUACGCCCGUGGAGACGUCGCUGCCUUAAUCGUGGUCUGCAGCACGCGCCUCACGGCGUGCCUCGGCAUCUGCGUGCUCAGGGCGUCGGCCUGUGGGCUCCCAAUUCGACCCGUCUUGAAACAAGGACCAAGGAGUCUGACAUGUGUUCGAGUCAACGGGUGAGUAAACCCGUAAGGCGCAAGGAAGCUGAUUGGCUGGAUCCCUCACGGGUGUACAGCCGACCGACCUUGACUUUCUGAGAAGGGUUCGAGUGUGAGCAUGCCUGUCGGACCCCGAAAGAUGGUGAACUAUGCCUGAGCGGGGCGAAGCCAUAGGAAACUCUGGUGGAGGCCCGCAGCGGUACGGACGUGCAAAUCGUUCGUCUGACUUGGGUAUAGGGCCGAAAGACUAAUCGAACCAUCUAGUUGCUGGUUCCCUCCGAACUUUCCCUCAGAAUAGCUGGAGCUCGGAAAAGAGUUCUAUUGGGUAAAGCCCAUGAUUAGAGGCAUCGGGGACGCAAUGUCCCUCGACCUAUUCUCAAAACUUUAAAUAGGUAGGACGGGGGUGGCUGCUUUGUUGAGGCAUCCCACGGAAUCGAGAGCUCCAAAGUGGGCCAUUUUUGGUAAGCAGAAUUGGCGAUGCGGGAUGAACCGGAAGCCCGGGUUACGGUGCCCAAAUGCGCGCUAACCUAGAACCAACAAAGGGUGUUGGUCGAUUAAGACAGCAGGACGGUGGUCAUGGUAGUCGAAAUCCGCUAAGGUGUGUGUAACAACUCACCUGGCGAAUCAACUAGCCCCGAAAAUGGAUGGCGUGGAAGCGCGCGACCUAUACCCGGCCGUCGGGCAAAGAGCCAGGCCUCGAUGAGUAGGAGGGCGCGGCGGUCGCUGCAAAACCUAGGGCGCGAGACCGGGCGGAGAGGCCGUCGGUGCAGAUCUUGGUGGUAGUAGCAAAUAUUAAAAAUGAGAACUUUGAAAGCCGAAGAGGGAAAGGGUCCAUGUGAACGGCACCUGCACAUGGGUUAGUCGAUACUAAGAGUCGGGGGAAAACCCGUCUGAUAGCGCUUAGUCGCGAACUUCGGAAGGGGAUCCGGUUAAAAUUCCGGAACGGGGAGGUGGCGGUUGACGGCAACUUUAGGGAGUCCGGAGACGUGGGCGGGGAUUCCGGGAAGGGUUAUCUUUUCUGUUUACAAGCCUGCCCACCCUGGAAACGGCUCAGCCGGGGUAGGGUCCAGCGGCUGGGAAAGCACCGCACGUCGCGUGGUGUCCCGGUUGCAUUCCCGGCGGCACUUGAAAAUCCGGAGGACCGAGGCCCGCUCACGCCCGGUCGUACUCAUAACCGCAUCAAGGCUCCAAGGUGAACAGCCUUUGGUCGAUGGAACAAUGUAAGCAAGGGAAGUCGGGCAAAUGGAUCCGUAACUUCGGGAAAAGGAUUGGCUCUGAGGGCUGGGCUCGGGGUCCCCAGUUCCGAACCGUCGACUGUUGGCGGGUUGCUUGAGCUGCUAACGUGGCGAGAGCGGACCGCGUCGUGUCGGCCGGGGGACGGACUGGGAACGGCUUUUUCGAGAUCUUUCCCCGGGCGUCGAACAGCCAACUCAGAACUGGUAACGACAAGGGGAAUCCGACUGUUUAAUUAAAACAAAGCAUGCGGAUGGUCCCUGCGAAUGCUAACGCAAUGUGAUUCUGCCCAGUGCUCUGAAUGUCAAAGUGAAAAAAUUCAACCAAGCGCGGUAAACGGCGGGAGUAACUAUGACUCGCUUAAGUUAGCCAAAUGCCUCGUCAUCUAAUUAGUGACGCGUAUGAAUGGAUUAACGAGAUGCCCACUGUCCCUGUCUACUAUCCAGCGAAACCACAGCCAAGGGAACGGGCUUGGCAGAAUCAGCGGGAAAGAAGACCCUGUUGAGCUUGACUCUAGUCGACUUUGUGAAAUGACUUGAGAGGUGUAGAAUAAGUGGGGGCUCCGGCGCAAGUGAAAUACCACUACCUUUAACGUUAUUUUACUUACUCCGUGAAUCGGAGGCGGUGUAACAACCCCUUCUUUUAGAACCAAGACUCCCUUCGGCGGGUCGAUCCGGGCGGAGGACAUUGUCAGUGGGGGAGUUUGGCUGGGGCGGCACAUCUGUUAAAAGAUAACGCAGGUGUCCUAAGAUGAGCUCAACGAGAAUAGAAAUCUCGUGUGGAACAAAAAGGGUAAAAGCUCGUUUGAAUUCUGAUUUUCAGUACGAUUACGAACCGUGAAAGCGUGGCCUAUCGAUCCUUAGACCUUCGGAAUUUGAAGCUAGAGGUGUCAGAAAAGUUACCACAGGUAUAACUGGCUUGUGGCAGCCAACCGUUCAUAGCGACGUUGCUUUUUGAUCCUUCGAUGUCGCUCUUCCUAUCAUUGUGAAGCAGAAUUCACCAAGUGUGGGAUUGUUCAACAACCAAUAGGGAACGUGAGUUGGGUUUAGACCGUCGUGAGACAGGUUAUUUUUACCCUACUGAUGCCCGCGUCGCAAUAGUAAUUCAACCAAGUACGAGAGGAACCGUUGAUUCGCACAAUUGGUCAUCGCGCUUGGUUGAAAAGCAGUGGCGCGAAGCUACCGUGCGCUGGAUUAUGACGAAACGCCUCUAAGUCAGAAUCCGGCGUAGAAGCGACGCAUGCGCGCGCCGCCCGAUUGCCGACCUUCAGUAGGAGCUUCGGCUCCCAAAGGCACCGUGUCGUUGGCUAAGUCCGUUCGGUGAAAGCACCGUUCGGACCGCAUUGAAUUAUAAUU